AGCCUCAGUCUGAUCCUAAUGCUAAGCCAAAGCCCAAGCUUAAGCCUAAGCCUAAGCCUAAA
rnacentral:sRNA from 1 species